AUUAUUAUCCUUGUGGACCCCACGCUGACAGGUUGCCAUUAUUUCAAAGCUCUGCUUUAAUUUGUCUAUACAAAUAUGUGUUGCUCAGUUUGACACGCAAGUACAAUUUUUUAUGCAUUUAAAACUGUCCCUAAAAAAUACUUGUUGAAAAUUUGGUGUACAAAACAGCCAAAUUAAAUUGUCUAUAUAUUAAAUUUAUUUCCAUCUAAUCCAAUUAUUUUAUAUUUUGAAGUAAGCAGGAUAUCGCUCCGUAGUUUGCAAUGCUUCGAAUAGUGAAAUAGACAACGAAAAGAUGACUCAUCAAGUGGUCGUGGCCGAGCUCCCAUGCUAUGGCAUUAUUCGAAGCAGUGAGCACGGCGCAAUGUCCUGCCAAGAAUUAUAGAUACGCUGAAGCUGCUAUAGUGUGAAUGUGUAAAAAUUGAGCAAAUAAAUAUGGUUCAGAAAUUUGCAACUUGAACGAUAACCCGCACUUGGAGCUGGCUAUCGUGCAAGUCAUCGUUAAUGUUGCGGAAUUCUGUUUCCCUUAAAAUCAACUUGUGUUCAAUUCAAGCAAGGAAGUCAUUUCUUUAUCAACAUGGAAUUCUUCAAACUCGAUGUUUCAUCUGCACGGAAAUAUUCCAUCUUGCCAGUAAAAUACAAGCCAUCGAAAGCCAAAGCAAUAUAUCCGAGGAUGCAACCACGCAAAAAAUUCAUUUAACUUUGUUAUAGAUACACAAAUAUUUAUAUUUCAUGUACAAUUAUAUUCGUUAUAUAGUAUAUAUAGAGUAAUCAGACCAGUUGCACAUUCCAAAUCUAAAGUCAAUUUCAACAUUUCUGUUGAUAAUUGAAUUUAAAGUGGAAUGUGUAGUUGGUCUACAUAGAUCUAUGUUUUCAUUUGUAAAAUAGUUAAAUAACAUUUGUAUAAAAAGAAAAACAAUUACAUACUUGUGACUGCAUUUCAGACCAAAUACAAAAAUGUUUAAAAUUCAACAA